rnacentral:rRNA from 1 species
CCGCGUGAGUGAAGAAGGUUUUCGGAUCGUAAAGCUCUGUUGUAAGAGAAGAACGAGUGUGAGAGUGGAAAGUUCACACUGUGACGGUAUCUUACCAGAAAGGGACGGCUAACUACGUGCCAGCAGCCGCGGUAAUACGUAGGGCGCAAGCGUUGUCCGGAAUUAUUGGGCGUAAAGAGCUCGUAGGCGGUUUGUCGCGUCUGCUGUAGAAAACGCAAGGCUUAACCUUGCGCCUGCAGUGGGUACGGGCAGACUAGAGUGCGGUAGGGGAGACUGGAAUUCCUGGUGUAGCGGUGGAAUGCGCAGAUAUCAGGAGGAAC